CGGUAUGCCUAACACAUGCAAGUCGUACGAGAGUUUUUAAUUCUAGUGGCGGACGGGUGAGUAACACGUGAGAAUUUACCUUUAGGAGGGGGAUAACAAUUGGAAACGAAUGCUAAUACCCCAUAUGCUUUUGAGCGAAAUGGAUUUAUAAUUAUCCGCCUAAAGAAAAGCUCGCGGCUGAUUAGCUUGUGGUAAGGUAAGAGCUUACCAAGGCGACGAUCAGUAUCNGGUUUGAGAGGACGAUCAGACACACUGGAACUGAGACACGGUCCAGACUCCUACGGGAGGCAGCAGUGGGGAAUUUUCCGCAAUGGGCGAAAGCCUGACGGAGCAAUACCGCGUGAGGGAAGAAUGCCUAUGGGUUGUAAACCUCUUUUUUCAGGGAGGAAUAAAAUGACGUGUACCUGAAGAAUAAGCAUCGGCUAACUCCGUG
rnacentral:rRNA from 1 species